UACGGAGGAUGCAAGCGUUAUCCGGAAUGAUUGGGCGUAAAGGGCUCGUAGGCGGUUUGUCGCGUCGGGAGUGAAAACCCAGGGCUUAACUCUGGACUGGCUUCCGAUACGGGCAGACUAGAGGCAUGCAGGGGAGAACGGAAUUCCUGGUGUAGCGGUGAAAUGCGCAGAUAUCAGGAGGAACACCGGUGGCGAAGGCGGUUCUCUGGGCAUGUCCUGACGCUGAGGAGCGAAAGUGUGGGGAGCGAACAGG
rnacentral:rRNA from 1 species